rnacentral:lncRNA from 1 species
CCCUGUCAUUUCUAAUUCUAUUUCAGGUAUAAGUGGGAAGAAGGAGAAACUUUGCAUGGAAACCGUUUUCUGGGGAGCUGUACACAGAAAUCAAGUUGGUCCUUGCCCAAGAAGAAGAAGGAUGUUUGACUGCCUUUCGUUGUUAUGCAGGUUUUGUUUCCCUUAUCUCUGAUGAGUCUCCAUUUGGCUGCAGCGUUUAUGCAGUUAUUGUAAUAACCACAGAUUUCAGAAUGAUAAAGCUCAUGCGCUUCUGUGUGACUGAUGUCCACUGCCACCCCUUUUACCUUGACGGAGAUUAGCAUCCCUUUAGAAUGCAAGCGGAAAGACAAGAUUGCAAGAACCUGCUAGAGAGUGGAAAAAAGAAACUUCCCAGGGUCUGGCUUCUUUCUAAAUUCUUCUACUUUGCCAACAUGUAUAUACUUAAACAGACAUUUAAGUGAAAGUAUGCACAUUUUAUGCAGAUCAGCUGCCUCUUUUUGUCCUCUUUUGUGUGAUGCACUCUUUUUUUGUAAUGUGUGAGUGCCCCCCCGUGUUUCUGAAAGGGUUUCCACGCCUUCUUCCAUUGGCAGAACAGCCGGACAAUUAGCAGAGCCGGCCCUGCCAUUUGACAGGGUGAGGUUGCAACCUCAAGCAGCUGAUUUGGGGUGUUACGAAAGGGCAGAAAAUGGUAUAUUAUAUUAUGAUUGUUUAUUAUAUUUUUACUGUUGGGGAGACGCACUUGUGGGAUUUUCUGCCUCAUGUCGAGCACUAAUAAUAAUAAUAAUAAUAAUAAUAAUAAUAAUAAUAAUGUGUACCCUGCCCAUCUGAAUGGGCUGUCCCAGCCACUCUGGGAGGCCUCCAGCAUAUACAAAAACAUCAUAAAACAUUAAAAGCUGCCUUCAGAUGUCUUCUAAGCACUGAGGUCCAGCACUGAGGGCCUUCUGGCGGUUCCCUCACUGCGAGAAGCCAAGUUACAGGGAACCAGGCAGAGGGCCUUCUCGGUAGUGGCGCCUUCCCUGUGGAACACCCUCCCACCAGAUGUCAAAGAGAACAACAACUACCAGGCUUUUAGAAGACAUCUGAAGGCAGCCCUGUUUCGGGAAGCUUUUAAUGUUUGAUGUAUUAUAGUAUUUUAAUAUUCUUUUGGAAGCCGCACAGAGUGGCCGGGGAAGCCCAGCCAGAUGGGCGGGGUAUAAAUAAUAAAUUAUUAUUAUUAUUAUUAUUAUUAUUAUUAUUAUUAUUCUAAAGGUUGCACAGUUCCUUAUCUCCUUGACAUCUGAAGGGAGGGUGUUCCGCAGGGUGGGUGCCACUACCAAGAAGGCCCUCUGCCUGGUUCGCUGUAGUCUCACUUCUCACCGUAAGGGAACCACCAGAAGGCCCUUGGAGCUGGACCUCCAUGUCUGGGCUGAAUCACAGUCACUUGGCUGGCCUUGAACACUACAGUGGUACCUCGGUUUAUGAGCUUAAUCUGUUCUGGAAGUCCGUUCUUAAACCGAAACCAUUCUUAAACCGAGGCACGCUUUCCCUAAUGAGGCCUCCCACUGCCGGUGCCCUUCCACUGUUCGGAUGCUGUUCUUAGACCGAGGUAAAGUUCACAAACUGGGACACUACUUCCGGUUUUGCAGAGUUCGUAAACCAAAUCAUUCGUGAACAGGGCUGUUCUUAAACCGAGGUACCACUGUAUGCACUUUUCUUAAACCGAGGUAUAGGGGGAAGGGAAGUUCCACCUGCAGCAAAAUGUCUUGGGUCAGUCCUGACAAUUAGGAAUGCUGAGGAUUUAUUUAUUUAUUCGGGGGUGGGGGAAGCAACUUUGUGUAGGUUCCAAAGCAGUGGUUAAUUUUCAAAGAAACAUCAAACCUGCCUGCCAAGCAUGACUCUGGUCUGGAAUGUUAAGUAUACUUGUUUAUUUGUGUAUUGGAAUGGGGAAAAAAACCUCUGUAUGUGUAUGGCUAAAGGUUUAACAUUGGAAAAUUCCAUCGAAACUAAGCAGGAGCAGCAGAGUACCUAAGAGGUUUAUAAUUAACCAAGAAUGUAUCUCUGCUGCUCUCUCGUGACAUAUUUAGCUUAUAUCAUGUGGGAUAUUCAGUUGCGAAUCUUCGUUUUGUGUGAGUUGGUCUUUGUUUUCUCUCUGAAGCGCUGGAGAAGAAAGGAUGUGCAAAUGAUUCUCUCCAGGAACAGAGCCUCAGGCUUCUAAUGGAGGCUGUGAGAGAGACAGAGCUUUGAUUUCAGUUCCAGAUAAAGCUAUCUUCUAUUUCUAAGAUGCAGUACCUGUGCUUGGAGAAGCACAUAAUAUUAUGCAACUAUUUGGAUGUGACACUGUUGUUUUAAGUGUCUGUUUUGAAACAAGUUCUGUUGGUAAAGCUUUUGAAUCAUA